UACGGAGGAUCCGAGCGUUAUCCGGAUUUACUGGGUUUAAAGGGUGCGUAGGCGGGUCGUUAAGUCGGCGGUGAAAUGCGGGGGCUCAACCUUCGAGCUGCCGCCGAAACUGGCGACCUUGAAUUCGGUCGAGGCCGGCGGAAUGCGUGGUGUAGCGGUGAAAUGCUUAGAUAUCACGCGGAACGCCGAUUGCGAAGGCAGCUGGCCGGGCCGAGAUUGACGCUGAGGCACGAAAGCGUGGGGAUCAAACAGGAUUAGAUACCCUGGUAGUCCACGCUGUAAACGAUGAUCACUGGAUGUUGGCGAUACACCGUCAGCGUCUGAGCGAAAGCAUUAAGUGAUCCACCUGGGGAGUACGGUCGCAAGAUUGAA
rnacentral:rRNA from 1 species